AAUUUUCGGCAAUGGGGGCAACCCUGACCGAGCGACGCCGCGUGAGUGAAGAAGGUCUUCGGAUUGUAAAGCUCUGUCGUAAGGGAAGAACCGUACCCGUAGGGCAUGACUGGUACCUGUCGGUACCUUACCAGCAAGCCACGGCAAACUAACGGCCAGCAGCCGCGGUAAUACGUAGUUGGCAAGCGUUAUCCGGAAUUAUUGGGCGUAAAGGGAGCGCAGGCGGCUUAUUAAGUCUAAGGUUAAAGUUCGGGGCUCAACCCCGUGAUGCCUUAGAAACUGCUAGACUAGAGUGCAGGAGAGGUGAGUGGAACUCCAUGUGUAGCGGUGAAAUGCGUAGAUAUAUGGAGGAACACCAGUGGCGAAGGCGGCUCACUGGCCUAUAACUGACGCUGAGGCUCGAAAGCGUGGGGAGCAAAUA
rnacentral:rRNA from 1 species